UAGUUCAGCACUAAGUCACUUUGUCUUAAUGGCAAAUGUGAGAUGCAGUGUAUGGAAUGUCAAAUUUCUAGUAUGAGAAAUUAACGAUUUAAGUCCUUCUUAAAUGAGGCCAUUUACCCAAAGAGGGUGCCAGGCCCGUAUAACGUUAAUGAUUACUAGAUGGCAUUUCCAAAGAGUCGUGUUGCUUGAUAGUGCAGCACUAAGUGGGUGGUAAACUCCAUCUAAAACUAAAUAUAACCAUGAGACCGAUAGUAAACAAGUACCGUGAGGGAAAGUUGAAAAGAACUCUGAAUAGAGAGUUAAAUAGUACGUGAAACUGCUUAGAGGUUAAGCCCGAUGAACCUGAAUAUCCAUUAUAGAAAAUUCAUCAUUAUGAUUUUAAUAUUUAUAAUAUUAUAAUAAUGGUGUGCAUUUUUUCUAUAAAAGGACAUUGUAAUCUAUUAACAUCAAAUAUUUAUCAAAAGAUCAAUUGCAAAAGUUUAUUCAAAUUAUUUUGCUUGCAAUUUAACAUAGAAUAAAUGCUUUUGAUUUGAUAAAGUGUUGAUAGAUUUAUUAUAUAUAGUGCUUGAAUAUUUAUAUUCUAUAAUAGCAUAUUAAUCAUUGAUUUUUAUGUUUAUUAUAUGCACUUAUAUGAUUAACAAUGCGAAAGAUUCAGGAUACCUUCGGGACCCGUCUUGAAACACGGACCAAGGAGUCUAACAUAUUUGCAAGUUAUUGGGAAUAAAAACCUAAUAGCGAAAUUAACAUAACUUAUUUAAUGGGAUUAAUUUUUAGCCUAUUUAUAGUCUAUUAAUUCAAUCCCGGGGCGUUCUAUACAGUUAUGUAUAAUAAUAUUUAUAUUAUUUAUACCUCUAACUAGAGCGUACCUUGAGCAUAUAUGCUGUGACCCGAAAGAUGGUGAACUAUACUUGAUCAGGUUGAAGUCAGGGGAAACCCUGAUGGAAGACCGAAACAGUUCUGACGUGCAAAUC
rnacentral:rRNA from 1 species